UAUCCACAGAACUGGGACAGCAUGGUGAGCAGCAGUGUGAGCCUUCCACACACUGACUGGUCAGUGUGGUGUGUUGUGUUGUGUUCUGGAUGGGACCCCAUUAGGGAUG
rnacentral:sRNA from 1 species